rnacentral:misc_RNA from 1 species
UUCUAUGCUUCUCUGUUUUUUUUUAAAAAAGAAAAAACUAAAAGAAAUUUUUGAGAAAGAUAAAACACAGGUUGUAUUUGUAGGGCGUUGAUACCAAAUUGAUUUAGAACAAGAAGAAACCAAAGGUUCAAUAGAAAUACAUACUCAAGACAAAGGAAGAGAAUCAUUCUUUAGAGAAACUAAUUCUCAAAGCUUUUUAUUAGUUUUCAAUAAUAAUCAUAAUAAUUCUUCCUAAUAAAUUAACUAAACAUAGAUGUUUAUAGUAAAAUAACUAAUUGUAUGAAUACUAGGAUUUGAAAUCCCUAAACCAAAAAACCUCAUCAAAAUACUAAUUAGUUAUCCCAAAUCAAUACAAAAUUCCUAAAUAAAAAGUACUAAGACUAAUAGAACUUUAUAAAUAUUCCUAAAUAGAAUUCCUAAACAAUAGAAAUCUGAACUUCCUAAUUUUAUAAUGAAUAAUUAAAUUAAAUUAAUUCAUAACAUUUGAUUCUGUUAAUAGGUUAGUCUUUUCAUUCAAAAAUGCACUACUUUACCGUUAAAUUUGCUAAAAAAAUAAAACACUCGCAUACUUUGAUUCUAAUGUGGCAUGAAAUUCAAAUCAAAUGCACGUAUUUUAUAGUUUUUAAAUUUGAAAAUGAAAUGAAAUUUUCUUCGCACCUUUUUAAUGGUGGUUCCAUAUAAUUGAAGCACUCGUCUUCUUUGAUUUUCACAUUCAAAUUCAUCAAGCACAUCCUCAGCAUCAUAAAGAGCAUCUUCAAGCUUAGCCAGCCACACUCGUAGUUGAUGGUCACUCGCCUGCUUCUCCUCAGCAUCCAAUAGCACAGCUUUCACAGUUAACAAGAUAUCCUCGAGCUUUUUUAGUUCUCCUUGCAAACCCCAUGCAAAACAUAUCUCUUGGUAGGCGUAAGAUGUUACCUUUUCUAAGACUUUCUCAGCAACAUUAAAAGCAAAUGACUCUAACGCCAUUUUGUGGAGUUGAGAUUUUUUUUUUUCUUUUUUGAUUUUGAUUUCUAUUUGAG